GGCGAGGCCGACAGGCGUAGUCGAUGGACAACGGGUUGAUAUUCCCGUACCCGUGUAUCCGCGCCCAUGAUGAAUCAGGAGUACUAACCGUCCAGAGCCACCAGGAGCACCUUCGGGUGCCGGGUGUGGUGAUGCACGGGACCUUUCCUGGUAGUAGUCAAGCGAUGGGGUGACGCAGGAAGGUAGCUGAGCCAGUCAGUGGUAACACUGGUGUAAGCCUGUAGGGCGAGACCUAGGCAAAUCCGGGUCUCACAUAAGCCUGAGAGGUGAUGCAUAGCCGAAUGAGGCGAAUUCAGUGAUCCUAUGCUGCCGAGAAAAGCCUCUAGCGAGCUGGUACACGGCCCGUACCCCAAACCGACACAGGUGAUCAGGUAGAGAAUACCAAGGCGAUCGAGAUAACUAUGGUUAAGGAACUCGGCAAAAUGCCCCCGUAACUUCGGGAGAAGGGGGACCCCUGCUGGUGAUCACUCUUGCAGUGUGAGCUGGUGUGGGUCGCAGAGACCAGUGAGAAGCGACUGUUUACUAAAAACACAGGUCCGUGCGAAGUCGUAAGACGAUGUAUACGGACUGACGCCUGCCCGGUGCUGGAAGGUUAAGAGGACCGGUUAGUUCCUUCGGGAGCGAAGCUGAGAAUUUAAGCCCCAGUAAACGGCGGUGGUAACUAUAACCAUCCUAAGGUAGCGAAAUUCCUUGUCGGGUAAGUUCCGACCUGCACGAAUGGCGUAACGACUUCUCAGCUGUCUCAACCAUAGACUCGGCGAAAUUGCAUUACGAGUAAAGAUGCUCGUUACGCGCGGCAGGACGAAAAGACCCCGGGACCUUCACUACAGCUUGGUAUUGGUGUUCGGUUCGGUUUGUGUAGGAUAGGUGGGAGACUGUGAAGCAUGCACGCCAGUGUGUGUGGAGUCGUUGUUGAAAUACCACUCUGAUCGUAUUGGAUACCUCAACCUCGGACCAUGAUCUGGUUCAGGGACAGUGCCUGGUGGGUAGUUUAACUGGGGCGGUUGCCUCCCAAAAUGUAACGGAGGCGCCCAAAGGUUCCCUCAGCCUGGUUGGCAAUCAGGUGUCGAGUGCAAGUGCACAAGGGAGCUUGACUGUGAGACUGACAAGUCGAGCAGGGACGAAAGUCGGGACUAGUGAUCCGGCACCGGCAAGUGGAAGCGGUGUCGCUCAACGGAUAAAAGGUACCCCGGGGAUAACAGGCUGAUCUUCCCCAAGAGUCCAUAUCGACGGGAUGGUUUGGCACCUCGAUGUCGGCUCGUCGCAUCCUGGGGCUGGAGUAGGUCCCAAGGGUUGGGCUGUUCGCCCAUUAAAGCGGCACGCGAGCUGGGUUUAGAACGUCGUGAGACAGUUCGGUCUCUAUCCGCCGCGCGCGUCAGAAACUUGAGGAAGGCUGUCCCUAGUACGAGAGGACCGGGACGGACGAACCUCUGGUGUGCCAGUUGUUCCACCAGGAGCACCGCUGGUUAGCUACGUUCGGAAGGGAUAACCGCUGAAAGCAUCUAAGCGGGAAGCCUGUUCCAAGAUGAGGUUUCUCAC
rnacentral:rRNA from 1 species